UGAGACUUUGUUUCAAAAAAAAAAAAAUUGGAAUGAUAAAGAGAAGAUUAGCAUGGCCCCUGUGCAAGGAUGACAUGCAAAUUCAUGAAGCAUUCCAUGUUUUU